AUCGAUGAAGAACGCAGCGAAAUGCGAUAAGUAGUGUGAAUUGCAGAAUUCAGUGAAUCAUCGAAUCUUUGAACGCACAUUGCGCCCCUUGGUAUUCCAUGGGGCAUGCCUGUUCGAGCGUCAUUUGUACCUUCAAGCUUUGCUUGGUGUUGGGUGUUUGUCCUGAGGGACUCGCCUUAAAGUAAUUGGCAGCCAGUGUUUGGUUUUGAAGCGCAGCACAAGUCGCGAUUCAAAGCUAUACGCCCGCUUCCACAAGCCUUUUUCACUUUUGACCUCGGAUCAGGUAGGGAUACCCGCUGAACUUAAGCAUAUCAAUAAGCGGAGGAAAAGAAACCAACAGGGAUUGCCUUAGUAACGGCGAGUGAAGCGGCAAUAGCUCAAAUUUGAAAUCUGGCUCUUUCAGAGUCCGAGUUGUAAUUUGCAGAGGGCGCUUUGGUGUUGGCAGCGGUCCAAGUUCCUUGGAACAGGACGUCACAGAGGGUGAGAAUCCCGUACGUGGUCGCUAGCCUUCGCCGUGUAAAGCCCCUUCGACGAGUCGAGUUGUUUGGGAAUGCAGCUCUAAAUGGGAGGUAAAUUUCUUCUAAAGCUAAAUACUGGCCAGAGACCGAUAGCGCACAAGUAGAGUGAUCGAAAGAUGAAAAGCACUUUGGAAAGAGAGUCAAAUAGCACGUGAAAUUGUUGAAAGGGAAGCGCUUGCAGCCAGACUUGCCUGUAGUUGCUUAUCCGGACUUUUGUCCGGUGCACUCUUCUGCGGGCAGGCCAGCAUCAGUUUGGGCGGUUGGAUAAAGGUCUCUGUCAUGUACCUCUCUUCGGGGAGAACUUAUAGGGGAGACGACAUGCAACCAGCCUGGACUGAGGUCCGCGCAUCUGCUAGGAUGCUGGCGUAAUGGCUGUAAGCGGCCCGUCUUGAAACACGG
rnacentral:rRNA from 1 species